UACGAACUGUGCAAACGUUAUUCGGAUUCACUGGGCUUAAAGGGUGCGUAGGCGGUUCCGCAAGUCCUGUGUGAAAUCUUCGGGCUCAACUCGAAGUCUGCACGGGAAACUGCGGGGCUUGAGUGUGGGAGAGGUGAGUGGAAUUCCCGGUGUAGCGGUGAAAUGCGUAGAUAUCGGGGAGGAACACCUGUGGCGAAAGCGGCUCACUGGACCGUAACUGACGCUGAGGCACGAAAGCGUGGGUAGCAAACAGG
rnacentral:rRNA from 1 species